GAAAUAAACCCAACAUUAUAAACUCAAGACACCAAGAAUGGCAAGAGUAUUACUAAAAGGUUUAUGGUAAUUGGCAAAUGAAUGGGAGAGCCCACGAGAGUCGAUUGGCAGUUUGGCAGACGCUGUGAAAAAUUCCAAGAUACUCCAUACGCCCCCGGCUUGGAAACUUGGUGGCUUACUUGGCAACGUAAACUUGGCCAGUCGACCGCAACCGUAUGACAUACUAAAAAGAGUAAAAAAACAAAAAAAAAUGUAUACAAAAUAAAAAUAAAUUAAAAU
ensembl:ncRNA lncRNA:CR46391 long non-coding RNA:CR46391